GCUCCCUUCGUCUAGCGGUUAGGACGCUGGCCUCUCACGCCGGAAACGGGGGGUUCGAUUCCCCUAGGGAGCGCCA
rnacentral:tRNA from 1 species